rnacentral:snoRNA from 1 species
CUUGCACCCAAACGAAGAAUCACAGUUUCUCACAACAGCAGUUUAAACAGUGGUGUGAACAAGUGAAUCUCAUCUCUGGGGGACUGUGUUGUGCCCCCUCAGAGUUAAUGUGAGGUCUUCCUCCC